UGCUGAGAUGUUAUUUUGAUGUGACAUAUUGCCUCUUUUUUCCCUGUGUUAUUCGGAGCUUGCAGGCUAGGUUCUUUUCCAAAAAAUAUUUAUUUUUUACAUUGUUUUAUGUGGUAGCAUUUACCUUUUGCCAAAAUUUUACCAAAAGUAUAGCAUGGAAUGUCUUCACUUAUAAAGCAAUGUUCUCGGAUGGUUCAUCAAUAGAUUGAUCCGUUUAAAUUGUUUAUCAAAAUGAUUAUGGAUUUUGGUGGAUUGGCAGUUGCAUCUUUCCUCUUGUAGCAAUCUCUUCAUCCGAGCAUGUCGUCUAAGAAUGACAAAUACAUAGAAGCUGGAUGAGCGAAUUUUGAGGAUUUAUAGGCAUCUUGUAGUUUUGAUUUAAGUUUGUCUUCAGUUGAUUAUCUUCCGGAGCAGUGAGAUAAUUAUUAUUGAGUUCUAAUUCCUCUACUGGAAGCUUUUCCAUGUUGAGAAGUGGUGUGAUCUAUUGCCUUCUUCUGUAGGGUGAGUUGAUGAUUGUUUGAAAUUGGAUAAACAGCCAUUUUGUGGAUUCUAAGGACUGGUAUAUAUGAUGAGGUUGGUCAAUUAUUACUUAGAAUGACUGAGCUUUUCUUGAGUUUGACGAUCUAUUCACAUCUAUCUUCGGUUGGGUUGGUGUAUGGGCAGUGUCCUUGAUCAUCUCGAGGACCAGUUGAAGAGCUGAAAUUUUGAUAAACUCCUGCUGCGUAGGCACUUUGUUGAAUGUCAUUCCUCAGUUGAUUCCCUUGGAGUGGAAAGAUGACAAUUCAGCUUUUUCUGUGUGGCUAAGUUGAUGAAUUGCGGAGUCCGCGCUUUGUUUGAAAUUGGAUAAGCUCCCCUUCUUGGAUUUGGUUCCUUUGAUGUCUUCACUCUAUAUGUGUACAUGGAUGAAUCCUUAAUCAAUUAAUAUUUUGGCCAUGCUAUGAUAGGGUGUGCGAGAACAAGCUCGACUUAUGCUUUGAGGGUUUGAAAUUUGACAAAAGAUCGUGGAUUGUCAUUGGAUGGCCUCUGUUGGACAUACUUGCAAAGGAGAGUACUAAGUCUGCUUAGUUGCAAUAAGAUAUCUGUAUGGAUUUUUGCUUAGGCGAUAUUCUCCCCUUCUAUAAUACUUUCUUCUGGCACCGUCAUUGUUGGGGACAGUUUACAAGUGAGGGUUUUUGUAUGUGAGAUGGGUUGUUUUUAGUGUGUAGGGUGCCACCUUGGGGCCUAAAUUGUGAAUAUUUUAGGUUCUCGUGGAUCCAUGGGACAAUAAAGGCUUUUCUGCAAUGGCCCAAGUGAUACUCCAUUGCAAACUGUUAGCAUCUCAUUCUGAAAAGAUGAACUAUGCUGUGCUUUUGCCUGUUUGCAUGAUUGGCAUAUGUGAUCAGGCCUCACAUGGGGAUGUUGACCGGACAGCCAUAUGGACAUAUCAUCAUUCCUUGGCAUUGCUUGCCCUCGGACCGGUUCUCUCCUUUCUGCUGAUUCUCUCAUUUCUUAUUCUUCACAAAGCUGUGUCAUUUCAUGUAUGCUGUCUGCAGACAUGGCUGGUCAAGCUGGGAGGAGCAGACACUUGGUGCUUGGUUGCCAUGUUUGUCAAAUUUUUGUAGUUAUUUUUAAAUCAGUGAAACUGAAGGGGCAGACAACAAUCCUGCAGUGAAUAAGCUUUGGUUUGAGGUUUUAACAUGUCUAGCGAGCAUGGACCCCUUCUGAUCUCUUAUGAUACCCUAAUGUACGACGGGUGAACUUCUGCUUCAUUUAUAUGAUCUAAAUUUAAUAAAGCAAACCUGUUUAGGGCUAUGAACUUAUACAUGUCCAAUUGCAUCGUGAUCCUUUGUGAAUGAUGAUCUGUCAACCAGAUAUUUACCGUAUCUCUUUCUCAUCGGCUCUACAAGGGUUGUUCGAAGUCAUCUUACUUGUAAUUGGAGAUACUAGACGGUUGCCUUAUGAUCAGUUUCAUUUGCUUUGGUAUUUUCUUUGAAGGGAUGAAUUUUGAAGCAUCUGGUUGGGUCUAUGUCCAGAACAAUGUUGGCGAAGGCUCUGAUUUUGGAUAGAAAGCUUAUCAAAGUUAUUAAGGUUCAAAGUCUCCCUCUGAGCAUACUAAUUUUGUGGCUUCCAUGCUGUAUGGACUUACUCAGUUUUCCAAGGGUGCUUGUUCCGGUUUAGAGCAAUCCAACUAAGGACCGUGUAAUCAAAACUGUUAGAGAAUCCAAGUUCUCGAGUUGGGAAGGCAGGAGGUUGUUAUUUAAUGCAAUUAUGUUUAGUUGAGCUACUGAAUUGUCAUUUUCCUUUUUGGAUCGGAGUGAUGAGCAAGUUCUGGAUCUUUCUACAGGGAUUGUCUGAUUGUUUUAUUUUCAAGGAUUAGAGGAGAUGCGAUGAACAUAUAGUUCUCUCAUGUUGUGAGUUGGAGUUCUUUUGUUGCAGAUCAUUCUGAAUUUGACCUGGUUUGUGUUGUAGUGUAUUUGACUUAGCAAGCUUUUGCUUUUUGCUU